GACGAACGCUGGCGGCGUGCUUAACACAUGCAAGUCGAACGAAGUGGCGCACGGGUGAGUAACGCGUAAUCAACCUGCCCUUCAGAGGGGAACAACAGUUGGAAACGACUGCUAAUACCGCAUACUGAAGGAGGGGAUCGCGUCUGAUUAGCUGGUUGGAGGGGUAACGGCCCACCAAGGCGAAGAUCAGUAAGCGGGGUGAGAGGGUGAACGGCCACAUUGGGACGGAGAAACGGGCCAGACUCCUACGGGGGGCAGCAGUGGGGAAUCUGCCGCAAUGGGAGAAAGUCUGACGGAGCAACGGCGCGUGAGUGAUGACGGCCUUCGGGUUGUAAAGCUCUGUUAAUCGGGACGCGGUACCGGAAUAGAAAGCCACGGCUAACUACGUGCCAGCCGCCGCGGUAAUUC
rnacentral:rRNA from 1 species